CAUGACCUUCAUCAUCAUCUUCAUCUGGACUCUCACAGCGUUUGCUCAAGAGUGUAGAGGACAGAUCAGCGUCACUCAGAGUCCCUCAACGACAGCAGCUCAACCAGGAGAAACAGUGAAGAUCAGCUGUAGAACCAGUAGAGAUGUGUAUUACAAUGGUGGUUAUUUUUUUUUAGCCUGGUACUUACAGAAACCUGGAGAAGCUCCUAAACUCCUGAUUUAUGCUGCAAACCUCCUCCAGUCAGGAACUCCAUCUAGAUUCAGUGGCAGUGGAUCUAACAGUGAUUUCACUCUGACCAUCAGUGGAGUCCAGACUGAAGAUGCUGGACAUUAUUACUGUCAGAGUUUUCACUGCAGAACAAGUGGUUACAGCUGUGCGGGUGACUAUGUGUUGACACAGUGA